CUUCAACUGUAUAUAACCGUCUAAUUUAUAACUGUAUGUAACCAAUUUACUGACAUAUGUUAUCUUUGAUUAACUAUGACCAAACUUGUUUUUGAUGAGACUAAUUGUGACAAAAUUUGUAUUGAAAAUCACUAUAUGUAAUCAGGUCAAUUUUAAUCAUAAUCAAGUCACAACUAGUCACAAUCUACAAAAAAUUGGUUACAAACAAUCACAACAAAUACAUAAUUGGUCACAUGGGGUCACAGCAGUGAAGAUCGUUGGAGCGUCACUACUGGAGGAAGCUAAACAACGGUGAAAGUAGAGGAAGAUAAAGGAACUGCUACACAGCGCAGUUCAUCCGACCACCACUCCUACCACAGCAAUACAACUACCUCCAAAUAUCAUUUCAUCUAACCCAUUCUGUCCCAACACCACUUUUACCAGUACCAUCAUAACCCAAAAUAACAACAUAAACAGACGGUCACCCUACCCACCACCGCACAACCCAAAACAUCAAUCCAAUAUAGGCGAUGCCCAAAAUAGCUACCAGUGAAUAGGGAAAGGGAGGCAGAGCGGGCACCUCAAUCUCUACCGAAGACAGGGGCGUCAAUAAAAAAGCAUCUGGUUGAGAUCGCAGCAACGUGAAUCUCUCAACGAGGGAAGGGUCAGAGAUUGUCAUGUCAACGAGGACAUUGGGAAGACGGAGAGUGCAUUUGUAGUAGAGAGAGAAAGUUGUAUUAUAGAGAGAAAUUUUAUUUGGCAGAAAGAGAUUUGUGAUUUCUGC
rnacentral:lncRNA from 1 species